AGGUGUGGAUAGGGGAGAAAUUCCAAUCGAACCCGGAGAUAGCUGGUUCUCCUCGAAAUAGCUUUAGGGCUAGCCUCAUGCAAGUCUUACGGAGGUAGAGCACUGAAUUCCUAAGGGGGCGUCAAAGCUUACCAAGGGAUAUCAAACUCCGAAUGCCGUGUAGAUGGUGCAUGGGAGUCAGACUAUCCGAGAUAAGUUGGGUAGUCAAAAGGGAAAGAGCCCAGACCUACAGCUAAGGUCCCAAAAUGUGUGUUAAGUGGAAAAGGAUGUGGGAUUUCGAAGACAACUAGGAUGUUGGCUUAGAAGCAGCCAUCCAUUAAAAGAGUGCGUAAUAGCUCACUAGUCGAGAGGUCCUGCGCCGAAAAUGUCCGGGGCUGAAACACACUACCGAAGCUUGGGAAUUGACGAAUGUUAAUUGGUAGAGGAGCAUUCUUAACGGGGCGAAGCUGUACCGGAAGGAGCAGUGGACUGUUAAGAAGAGAGAAUGCCGGAAUGAGUAGCGAGAGGAAGGUGAGAAUCCUUCCGGCCGAAUAUCUAAGGUUUCCAGAGUAAAGCUGAUCUGCUCUGGGUAAGUCGGGGCCUAAGGCGAGGUCGAAAGACGUAGUCGAUGGAUAACAGGUAAAGAUUCCUGUACUGUAUCAUAACAGAACUGUGGGGACGCAGACAGAGAGCAUAAGCCGGGAAUGGAAAGACCGGUACAAGCGAGGUAGGAGUGCAUCAGGCAAAUCCGGUGCACAAUCUGAAGACGUGAUGUGGGGCGUAAAGCCGGAAGUAUGUGAGCUGGCUGCCAAGAAAAGCCGCUAUUGUUUAUGAUAUACCCGUACCGUAAACCGACACAGGUGGAUGAGGAGAGAAUCCUAAGGCCGACGGGAGAAGCAUUGUUAAGGAACUCGGCAAAAUGACUCCGUAACUUCGGGAGAAGGAGUGCCAUGUAAAAGUGGCCGCAGAGAAUUGGCCCAAGCAACUGUUUAGCAAAAACACAGGUCUAUGCAAAACCGAAAGGUGAGGUAUAUGGGCUGACGCCUGCCCGGUGCUGGAAGGUUAAGGGGAGAGGUUAGUCGUAAGGCGAAGCUUUGAACUUAAGCCCCAGUAAACGGCGGCCGUAACUAUAACGGUCCUAAGGUAGCGAAAUUCCUUGUCGGGUAAGUUCCGACCCGCACGAAAGGCGUAAUGAUUUGAGCGCUGUCUCAACAAUGCACCCGGUGAAAUUGAAAUACCAGUGAAGAUGCUGGUUACCUGCGCCAGGACGGAAAGACCCCAUGGAGCUUUACUCCAGCUUGAUACUGGGAUUCGAUAUUGCAUGUACAGGAUAGGUGGGAGACUGAGAACUGAUGACGCCAGUUGUCAGGGAGUCACUGUUGGGAUACCACCCUUGUAGUAUUGGAUUUCUAACCAGCAGCCGUGAACCGGCUGGGGGACAAUGUCAGGUGGGGAGUUUGACUGGGGCGGUCGCCUCCGAAAGGGUAUCGGAGGCGCUCAAAGGUUCCCUCAGAAUGGUUGGAAACCAUUCGAAGAGUGCAAAGGCAGAAGGGAGCUUGACUGCGACACCGACGGGUGGAGCAGGUACGAAAGUAGGACUUAGUGAUCCGGUGGUAUGAAAGUGGGAUUGCCAUCGCUCAACGGAUAAAAGCUACCCUGGGGAUAACAGGCUUAUCACUCCCAAGAGUUCACAUCGACGGAGUGGUUUGGCACCUCGAUGUCGGCUCAUCGCAUCCUGGGGCUGUAGCAGGUCCCAAGGGUUGGGCUGUUCGCCCAUUAAAGCGGUACGCGAGCUGGGUUCAGAACGUCGUGAGACAGUUCGGUCCCUAUCCGGCGCGGGCGUAGGAUAUUUGAGAGGAGCUGCCCUUAGUACGAGAGGACCGGGGUGGACUGGCCGCUGGUGUAUCUGUUGAACUAUCAAGUUCAUGGCAGAGUAGCCAAGCCGGGACGGGAUAAACGCUGAAGGCAUCUAAGCGUGAAGCCCCCCUCAAGAUGAGAUAUCCCAUAACGUCAAGUUAGUAAGACCCCUUGAAGACGACGAGGUAGAUAGGGCAGAGGUGGAAGUGCGGUAACGCAUGGAGCUGACUGUUACUAAUAGGUCGAGGGCAUAACCA
rnacentral:rRNA from 1 species